UACGUAGGGUGCAAGCGUUAAUCGGAAUUACUGGGCGUAAAGCGUGCGCAGGCGGUUUUGUAAGUCUGAUGUGAAAUCCCCGGGCUCAACCUGGGAAUUGCAUUGGAGACUGCAAGGCUAGAAUCUGGCAGAGGGGGGUAGAAUUCCACGUGUAGCAGUGAAAUGCGUAGAGAUGUGGAGGAACACCGAUGGCGAAGGCAGCCCCCUGGGUCAAGAUUGACGCUCAUGCACGAAAGCAUGGGGAGCAAACAGG
rnacentral:rRNA from 1 species